UGGGGAAUUUUGGACAAUGGGGGCAACCCUGAUCCAGCAAUGCCGCGUGUGUGAAGAAGGCCUUCGGGUUGUAAAGCACUUUUGUCCGGAAAGAAAACGCCGUGGUUAAUACCCGUGGCGGAUGACGGUACCGGAAGAAUAAGCACCGGCUAACUACGUGCCAGCAGCCGCGGUAAUACGUAGGGUGCAAGCGUUAAUCGGAAUUACUGGGCGUAAAGCGUGCGCAGGCGGUCCGCUAAGACAGAUGUGAAAUCCCCGGGCUUAACCUGGGAACUGCAUUUGUGACUGGCGGGCUAGAGUAUGGCAGAGGGGGGUAGAAUUCCACGUGUAGCAGUGAAAUGCGUAGAGAUGUGGAGGAAUACCGAUGGCGAAGGCAGCCCCCUGGGCCAAUACUGACGCUCAUGCACGAAAGCGUGGGGAGCAAACAGGAUUAGAUACCCUGGUAGUCCACGCCCUAAACGAUGUCAACUAGUUGUCGGGUCUUCAUUGACUUGGUAACGUAGCUAACGCGUGAAGUUGACCGCCUGGGAGUACGGUCGCAAGAUUAAAACUCAAAUGAAUUGACGGGGUC
rnacentral:rRNA from 1 species